rnacentral:rRNA from 1 species
CCUACGGGUGGCAGCAGUGGGGGAUAUUGCACAAUGGGGGAAACCCUGAUGCAGCGACGCCGCGUGUGGGAAGACGGUCCUCUGGAUUGUAAACCACAGUAGCCAGGGAGGAAGAUGACGGUACCUGGGGAGGAAGCUCCGGCUAACUACGUGCCAGCAGCCGCGGUAAUACGUAGGGAGCGAGCGUUGUCCGGAAUUACUGGGUGAAAAGGGAGGGGAGGCGGGGAUGCAAGUUUGGGGUAAAAACUACCGGCUCAACUGGGAGUCGCACUGAAAACUGCAGCUCUUGAGUGAAGUAGAGGCAGGCGGAAUUCCUAGUGUAGCGGUGAAAUGCGUAGAUAUUAGGAGGAACACCAGUGGCGAAGGCGGCCUGCUGGGCUUUUACUGACGCUGAGGCUCGAAAGUGUGGGGAGCAAACAGGAUUAGAUACCCGAGUAGUC